rnacentral:rRNA from 1 species
UAGCUAGUUGGUGAGGUAAAGGCUUACCAAGGCGACGAUCUGUAGCGGGUCUGAGAGGAUGAUCCGCCACACUGGAACUGAGACACGGUCCAGACUCCUACGGGAGGCAGCAGUGGGGAAUUUUGGACAAUGGGGGCAACCCUGAUCCAGCCAUGCCGCGUGAGUGAAGGAGGCCUUCGGGUUGUAAAGCUCUUUCGGCCGGGAAGAAAUCGCAUGGGCCAAUACCCUGUGUGGAUGACGGUACCGGAAUAAGAAGCACCGGCUAACUACGUGCCAGCAGCGGCGGUAAUACGUAGGGUGCGAGCGUUAAUCGGAAUUACUGGGCGUAAAGCGUGCGCAGGCGGUUUUGUAAGACAGGCGUGAAAUCCCCGGGCUUAACCUGGGAACUGCGUUUGUGACUGCAAGGCUAGAGUACGGCAGAGGGGGGUGGAAUUCCACGUGUAGCAGUGAAAUGCGUAGAGAUGUGGAGGAACACCAAUGGCGAAGGCAGCCCCCUGGGUCGAUACUGACGCUCAUGCACGAAAGCGUGGGUAGCAAACAGGAUUAGAUACCCUGGUAGUCCACGCCCUAAACUAUGUCAACUAGGUGUUGGGUGGGUAAAACCAUUUAGUACCGUAGCUAACGCGUGAAGUUGACCGCCUGGGGAGUACGGCCGCAAGGUUAAAACUCAAAGGAAUUGACGGGGACCCGCACAAGCGGUGGAUGAUGGGGAUUAAUUCGAUGCAACGCGAAAAACCUUACCUACCCUUGACAUGCCAGGAACUUGCCAGAGAUGGCUUGGUGCCCGAAAGGGAGCCUGGACACAGGUGCUGCAUGGCUGUCGUCAGCUCGUGUCGUGAGAUGUUGGGUUAAGUCCCGCAACGAGCGCAACCCUUGUCGUUAGUUGCCAUCAUUUAGUUGGGCACUUUAACGAGACUGCCGGUGACAAACCGGAGGAAGGUGGGGAUGACGUCAAGUCCUCAUGGCCCUUAUGGGUAGGGCUUCACACGUCAUACAAUGGUCGGUACAAAGGGUUGCCAAGCCGCGAGGCGGAGCCAAUCCCAGAAAGCCGAUCGUAGUCCGGAUUGCAGGCUGCAACUCGCCUGCAUGAAGUCGGAAUCGCUAGUAAUCGUGGAUCAGCAUGUCACGGUGAAUACGUUCCCGGGUCUUGUACACACCGCCCGUCACACCAUGGGAGCGGGUUCCGCCAGAAGUAGGUAGCCUAACCGCAAGGGGGGCGCUUACCACGGCGGGGUUCGUGACUGGGGUGAAGUCGGAACAAGGUAGCCGUAGGGGAACCUGCGGCUG